AGUGAACGCUGGCGGCGUGCCUAAUACAUGCAAGUCGAACGGAAUUUAAAAGAGCUUGCUCUUUUAAAUUUAGUGGCGCACGGGUGAGUAAUAUAUAGCUAAUCUGCCCCUUGCUGGAGGACAACAGUUAGAAAUGACUGCUAAUACUCCAUACUCCUUUUUACCAUAAGAUAAAUCGGGAAAGAAUUUCGGCAAGGGAUGAGACUAUAUCGUAUCAGCUAGUCGGUGGGGUAACGGCCUACCGAGGCUAUGACGCGUAACUGGUCUGAGAGGAUGAUCAGUCACAUUGGAACUGAGACACGGUCCAAACUCCUACGGGAGGCAGCAGUAGGGAAUAUUGCGCAAUGGGGGAAACCCUGACGCAGCAACGCCGCGUGGAGGAUGACACUUUUCGGAGCGUAAACUCCUUUUGUUAGGGAAGAAUAAGACGGUACCUAAC
rnacentral:rRNA from 1 species